rnacentral:rRNA from 1 species
CUUCACAUGCAGUCACUUGAAUUUGGGUUUUUAACUUAGAUUUGGGUGGCGGACGGGUGAGUAACGCGUAAAGAACUUGCCUCACAGUUAGGGACAACGUUUAGAAAUGAAUGCUAAUACCUGAUAUUAUGAUUUUAAGGCAUCUUAGAAUUAUGAAAGCUAUAAGCACUGUGAGAGAGCUUUGCGUCCCAUUAGCUAGUUGGAGAGGUAACAGCUCACCAAGGCGAUGAUGGGUAGCCGGCCUGAGAGGGUGAACGGCCACAAGGGGACUGAGACACGGCCCUUACUCCUACGGGAGGCAGCAGUGGGGAAUAUUGGACAAUGGACCGAGAGUCUGAUCCAGCAAUUCUGUGUGCACGAUGAAGUUGUUCGGAAUGUAAAGUGCUUUCAGUUGGGAAGAAAUAAAUGACGGUACCAACAGAAGAAGUGACGGCUAAAUACGUGCCAGCAGCCGCGGUAAUACGUAUGUCACGAGCGUUAUCCGGAUUUAUUGGGCGUAAAGCGCGUCUAGGUGGUUAUGUAAGUCUGAUGUGAAAAUGCAGGGCUCAACUCUGUAUUGCGUUGGAAACUGUAUAACUAGAGUACUGGAGAGGUAAGCGGAACUACAAGUGUAGAGGUGAAAUUCGUAGAUAUUUGUAGGAAUGCCGAUGGGGAAGCCAGCUUACUGGACAGAUACUGACGCUAAAGCGCGAAAGCGUGGGUAGCAAACAGGAUUAGAUACCCUGGUAGUCCACGCUGUAAACGAUGAUUACUAGGUGUUGGGGGUCGAACCUCAGCGCCCAAGCAAACGCGAUAAGUAAUCCGCCUGGGGAGUACGUACGCAAGUAUGAAACUCAAAGGAAUUGACGGGGACCCGCACAAGCGGUGGAGCAUGUGGUUUAAUUCGACGCAACGCGAGGAACCUUACCAGCG